ACCAUAUUUCCGGUUGAAAGUGAAUUCAAUCCAUUUUUUACCUGAACAUUGAUGUCACUUUAAUUCAAGUCAAGAGUUUCAAGUGUUUCAAAACGAGUGUAGAAUGUCGACGACGCAGCAACAACCGCCACCGCGAAAGGGCAAUUAUGCAAAGGUAUUGAGAAAUUUACAUGCGGAGCAGUUGUCCAAGGUACAAUGGAAACACCAACAGGAAUGCGAACUCCUCGAAGACUUGCGAAAUUUCAUCAAGCAAAGAUGCGCCGUCGAGAAAUCCUACGGCGAGGCCAUGCAGAAGAUAUCGGCCAAUUACCUCAACAAGAAAAUGCCGCCCAUUCACGAACUGAAUCACGACGAAAUCAACCAGCAAUGGACGGUUUGGUCAAUAUGGAGAUCUUUGCUGGAGGAAACGGAUAAAUUGGCAAAGGCCAAAUUGGCCGCUGUCGAAAUAUUCCAAACGCAAAUCGCAGACGACGUGAAAAUCGUCCGUCAAAACAAACUCCAAUUGGCUAAAAAGAAUCUGGACCUAUUGAAAGUGGUGCAAGGUGAAGUGCAAACUUGCGUGACUGAAUUGGACAAAUUGAAAAAAGUUUACGUCGACGACGAACAUGUCAGUCACGACGCUCGUGACAAGGCCCGCGAAGCUGAGGAAAAGCUAAAGAAGAAAAAGGGUAGCAUCUUCCAGUCGGUUUCCUCUUUACAGAAGACAUCGGCCAAAUUGGGGAGUCGAAGGGAUUUGUGCGAGGAGAAAUCGACUCAAGCCAGAAACGCCUACCUGCUUCAACUUGCUUCAGCCAACGCCCAUCAGAAUCGAUACUUUCACGUUGAUUUGCAAAACGUCGUCAAGACGUUAGACGGCGGAAUGUACGAAAAAGUGGCCGAAUACUUUUCCAUUAUGAGUCGGACGGAACUUUAUACUUGCUCCGCCUCUCAAUUCUCUUUCGGCAAAAUUAAAGAGCAAGCCCAAACCAUCAAUCGCGACUACGACCUGGCCUGUUUCGUCGACGCCUUCCCAAUUCUCAAUCAGCAUAUCACUUACGACUUUGAGCCUUGUGACAAUGACGUCAUCACGACGGUGGAUCAAGCUCACGGAGCUGGUGCCGGAUUGAUUCAGAGUGGAAAACAAUAUGCAUCUCGUGUCGCCCAAGAAUCCAAAAAGAUCAGAGAAUCGACGAGGACACUGCAAACUCUACAGGGCAUGAAAGAGAGUGGCUUGAAGAGUGAUCCGAAUGAACCCAACGGACCUGAUAUUGACGCCAAAAUCGAUGAAAUCAAAAACCAAUUGAGGCGCUCAGAGACUGCCAAAAUCAAAGCUGAGGCUCGAUUGGAGUGCCUUCAUGCUGGUGGAGUCAAAGUCGAUGAAUUCCUUCAAGACGCAGAGGGUCUGGUGACUCUUGGAUUGAUGAGAUCUUCUAGCCAGCUUUCUUUCCGAGAAUCAGCUCACGAGGAAUCUGAAUUCUCCGACAGCGGCUCUCGCGCUGGUGCCGAAACAACUCAGCAGGAUGAAGAAGAGGAAGAAGCCGCUGACGAAGCUUUCGUCGAGCAAGUGGUACAGCAGCAAAUUGCCGAAAUGCAGGCAACGUGGCAAGAUCCGACGGCCGCCUGGGAUACAACCGACGCCUGGGGAGACGACGCCGCUCAGCUCAACACCUCCGCCGCCAACACGACCACCACGUCUGUACAAAUUGAAACUGCCAGCAGCGUCACGGAUUCGGUGCAUGCCAGUGGAGAUGCCAGCGUCAUCAAAUGCAUCGCGUUCUAUCCCUACACGGCACAAAAUGCGGACGAGCUUUCCAUGAUGGAAAACGAAGAGCUGGAAGUGUUGCUGGCCUUUUCCGAAGGCGACGGAUGGGUCAAAGCCCGGAAUUAUAAGGGAGAGGAAGGCUACGUGCCUGAAAAUUACCUGGACCUGCACGCCGACGAUCAGGUGCCGUGUGGAGGUGACGAGGACGCCAACCAGAACGUCCAUCAACAUCCAGCUAUUGCGGAGGAAGUCGAGCCGGAAGAAGGGCACGAAGAAGAGGAAGAAGAAAUCGUUAGUGCAGAAGCGGAAGGAGGUUAUCCAUUGGAGAACCAAAUUUCCUUUUCUUCAGUCGACUACACUUAUCAGCAGCAAGGAAUGAGCGCCGAAGAAGAAGAUGAGUUCCCUGGGCCGACCGAAAGCGCUCCUUUACCUCCACCUCCUCCACCCAUUGCUGCCCCAGUCGUGGAAUCAUCUCCAGUUCCUGUCGCUGAUGGCCAAACAAACCGAAUCAUCGGCUACUGCCGGGCCAUGUACGACUACGACGCCACGUCUGAUGAGGAGUUGACCUUUUACGAAGGUGAAGUCAUCGCCAUUUUCCGUCGAUCCGGUGCUCUACACGAUCAGGACGUCGACGAUGGGUGGUGGGAGGGUCAGCUCCUAACGGACGGGACUAGAGGCGUCUUCCCUUCUUUGGUUGUCGAAGAAUGCGGUCCCAACGGCGAAGAAUUGACGCCAAAAGGAUGCCACGCCUAAGAUUGCCACUGUUAUGGUUAACGUAGAGCAGAUAAUGGAUUAUAACCCAUGAAAUGAAUGAAGCUGUCCUAUUGCCAGCAAUAUGAAAUCAAUCAUUUCAAUUUUCAACGUGAACGAACGUGAACGCCCAUCAGUCAGUUAUAUUUAGCUUUUCGAGUCGACAAACCCAUUUGAAAUGUUCCACAUGACUGGAUUGCAUAACUCGAUUAAAGGUAACAACUGUGCCACAAUCAAAACGUCAGAAGAGCUAAGUCGAAGCCGUUCCUGGAACAGUUUUGACAAAAUGCCACUAGUUUUCUGGCAAGGUCAGCGUCUUCUCCCAAUAAGACGUUUUGCCUUAUCCUUUCUCUUCCUCGAAUUGAAUCCUGGUUUUCCUCAUUUUGACGUCAUCACACUAAAAAUAUGUCCAGUGCUGCCAACCCUGUUUGGGUAAGAGAAGAAAGACCUUUCUACUGAAAAACUAGCGUCAACCUUUAACUUGGAUUUAGGUGGAUUUGAGCGGAAAAUAGUCUUCGCUUGAAAGAGAUGUAAUGGGGCGAGCACUGUUUCCAUCCGCAAAACUCGUUGGCAAAGCAUCUCAUCAAGGGCACUGAUAGAACUAGGCGUCGCCCAAACGUGUCCAAGAGUAAACAAACCCAAUUUAACCUUGUGAUCUUAAAUUCCAAGGUGGUUUGGCGCCUGUUUUUUUUCCGCAAUUGAAACCAUUUGUCGCAUAUAAAUACUUGACAACUGGAGGGAAAAGAUAUUCUUUCAGCGAAUUUCAUAGCGGCUACUACAGUCGCAAUUAACAUGAGUCGAUUUGGUGCUAUCGUGUUUGUUGCGGCAUUCGUGUUCUCGGUCAACUUGCAGAGAGCUGAAUCCUUCAGUCAUCACCGCAUUGGCAUCGACAAUAAAGAUUCUCACGAGCACUUAGUCGAUAGCAAGGAACUACAAGAAACGAGUAUCGCCCCAACUGACACCCAAUCUGACGAGCUGGUCGACUCCGAGGAAGAGAUAGUCGUGAAACGCCAUGUCCUUCUUCAACCAUCAACUGGUCAUUCGUCUGAAGAGGAAGAUGCAACUACUGAUAGUAAAAACGAAUCAAUCGAGGAUAGCGUCGACUCAAAAGAAAUCAAGUUGGUUAAAAGAGAUGUCCAAUUUACUACGACAACUGAUGGCCACUCAUCCGAAGAAGAUGUAACAACUGUACCAACAAUUUCUCUGGAAGACCUAUCAGUGGAAGACGACGUUGACGACGCAGAAGACAAGAAGAAAGUGAAGCGGAAUGUUCAAGUGACAAGCAUCGACCACUCGUCCGAAGAGGAAAGAUAUGCGGCAAUAGUCGGCCAGAUGAAUCAAUCUGACGAGCACGAUUAUGACGACUCGGCAGAAUUGUUUAAGCGAGAAAUCCACCAACUUACGGCCGGGGAAUUGGAGAUGCUGUUUCAACUUUUCCAUUUCGGUGCAGCAAACGGAACUCUUAUUGGCAGCCAUUCAGACGAGCAUCAUGAUUAUUUUGGACCUAUUGAGAAAAGGCAAUCCGGGCUACUGGCAACAACAACUGGCGGACGCUCUUCCGAAGAAAUGGAUGAUAGAUUCGACCAUUCAUUUGAAAAUUCGAUGGAAGAUGUACUUGAGAGAUUGGCGUCGGUCAAGUCAGCCGCCUGAUGAUUUGUUUUUGGUUAUUUCCCUUGUUAUAGAUUCAUGCAAAUAAAGAUCUACGUUGUUUCAUA